rnacentral:lncRNA from 1 species
UCUCUCUCUCUCUCUCUCUUCUCUCCCCCUCAUUUUGAUCUCCCUCUCCCUCUCUCCUUCUCACUUUCUUUUCUCUCUCUACCACCAUUGAUGGUCAUUACCAAGCUCCAAGAAUCAUUCUCAUACUUAGAUCUAUCCUAAAUCAAGCUCUAAACAUCCAUUUCCUUUGAAUCAAGCCAAGAUUGGAAGAGUUUCUCAAGGUUGAAGUCAAAGAAAGAUUUUUAUUAUUUCCAAAUCCUUGAGUAAGUGAUGAAUCAUUUUAGAUCUAGACUUAUUUGUGUUGUAUAUGUAUAUAUAUGGUUAGAUCAAAUGAGAAAAACAUCCCUCUUUUUAAAAAAAAAUCGAAAAUUAGGGUUCUACCCUUCAAAAAAAUUUCUUUUUCUUUUCUCAAAUUGAAGUGAUAUUCAUGCUAUUGGGAUCUUAUUUCCAUGUGUAGAGAAUAGAUUUAAAAAGAGAUAAGAUUUGAAAUAGUUUAGUUUGUGUAAUUUUGGGAAGUUUUGAUUUUGAGUCUUGAUUGAUGAGUUGAUGGAUGAUACAUGCUUUUGAGAGUGUUAUAUGAUGUUUCAUGGUGCUUUAAUUUACUAAUUGCUUGCUUAUUUAUGCUAUUACGUGUGUCAAUUUGAUAGAUCUAAGGUUUGAUUUGUGAGUUAUACAUGUUUAAAGAUUUUCAAAAAGUGUAGUUUGUUAAAAAUUAGGACCUUUUGAUUUAUGUGCUAAAUAUCUAAAUUGGCUAAGGUUAAUUGAUAUUAAGUAUGAUAGAAACGAUUAUUAAUGAUCAAUUUGAUUAAUUGUUGAUUAUGUGUGAAUUUGCUUGAGUUUAGUUUACUAAGAUUUGGGUAUUCUUGAUUAAUGGAGUCAAUGUUUGGAUUAAUGAUAUUUAUAUGCUAAUUGGACUAUAUAUAAAGGAGGAUAGCGUGAUUAAAUUGGUUAAUGAUGUUAAUUUGUGAAAAUUCACCGAGUUUAGUUUGCACGUAUGUAAGAGAUCUUUCAUAUAAGAUGAGUUAUGAGUUAAGGAUGUUUAUAUGUGGCUUGUUAAUGAUAAAUUGAGCCUAUAUAUGCGAUAUGAGACGAAAUGAAUCGUCCCCUAAAAACUUGUGUGUUGACCGAAUACAUGCUGAAGAAGGGGAAGUUAAAUUUGAUUUUUCUUGAGUCAUACGAUCAUAUAUUUGUGUUCUUGUGUAUUAUGUUAGCUUAAGUUGAAUUUUUGAGAAUUUUCUGACAUAGAAAUCUCGAGUUUAGUUUGUUAAAAAUGACAUAAAUUGGAAUUACUUUCUCAUGUGAAUUAUUUUUAGUUAAUCAAUUCAAGAAUGUUUUAUAAUAUGCUCUUAGCUUUCUAAAUUGAAUUUUUGGAAUUUUUUCCCAACUAAAAAUAUUUUUCCGUUUUUACGAAAAGUUUUUAAAUGUGUUUGCUAAGGUGCUUUUGAACUUGAUUAAUUAUUCUAUGAGCUAAUUUAGGAUUAAUUGAUGAUGUUUUGUGUGUGCUUAUCUAUGUGUUUGUGUGUUGAUGUAGUCUAGUUCUAUAUGAGUGAUAAGUCAAGAGUAGGAUUUGUGUUUACUUAGGAAGUCUAGUUGUUAUGAGAAUGUUAUAGUUGGAGUGAAGUGAUGAGAAGCGUUAGGAUAUACUAAGAUAAGAGUAGUAUUCUUAGUAAGGAAGUUUCUGACUUAUUUUAUCUUAUCUCAUGGGUCAUCUAUGUCGUCUAUGAUAUCUGAAGAAACGAGCAGAGGACGAAAAUCAAUUACGUCAAGUAUCGAGGAAAGUAAGUUAAAGACUUCAGGUGAGCAUUAUUUUAAUACCCCUAUUAUACAAGCUUUCUAAAAUCAAAUGAUGUUUAUGAGUAUGGUAAUGAUUUAUGUUAAUGUUAUGUUGAAACUAAUUGACUUGCCAAGUUUUAAUGAUAAACUUGUAUGUUACCCUCUACUGUUGAGACGAAUUCGGUCCUACCACAAGCGGGAUUUUGUGCACAAAGGUGAUUGUGAGCCGUCGAUUGGGUAGGCCGGUCACGGUAUUUGACAGGGAGGCCUACUUCUCAGUACCUUUGAUGUUGAAUAGUGGAUAUGGUACAUGUAUGAUGAAUGUUUAAACUACGCAGUUGCUUUAUUGUGAUGUUAUGGUUUGCGAAAUUGCUUGCACAGGUUCGUUUAUACUAAAAUCCCUAUGUGAUGCUUAUAUUGUGGCAAGUUCAAUUUAUAGCUCUAAGAGCAAGCUUUCAUUGUUUUUUCGGCUUAUGUCCACUGAGUAUUCUGUACUCAGCCAUGCAUGUAUUUCUAAACGUGCAGGAUAAGCGAGGAGGGAGAUUGGUUUGGUGCUGGUGGAGGCUUGUUUCGGACGAUGUUAUCCUUUUACCGUAUUUAUAUUUCAUACGGUAGCAUUUUGAUGUUGGAGUUUUUAUUUUUGGACUUAGUCAAGAAGUAUAAUCCCGGAUAUACGUCUUCAUACAUAUAGUCUGUUCACGUUUUGCUGCGAGACUCUGUAAAUUAUGAACCUUUGUGAAUAUUUAACUAUGUCCACUUUGUAAACUUUGUCGAGAAUCCUAAUACUUUUGAACUUAUGAACCCGGUAAUACUUAUGUCUUUGAGAUGAUGUUAUUGUUAAUUGCCUUUGCAAGUAUUGUUGCGAGCUUCAGCUUGAUAUUCGAUUUGAUUUCUCUAUCUUUAUUUUUUUCUUUUAUUUAGUCGUAUCGAUACCCGGUCUACGCUAUCACUAGCUAGAUGUCGGGCUGCGACAGUAUUGAUAUAACUAAAAGUAAAUACUUAUAUUAACAUAAGGGUUCAAGAUUUAGUGUUUAGGGUUUAAGGUUUAGAAUUUAGAAUUUAGAAAAUAUAAUACUUUAUAUUGAGUAAAGGUAAAUACUUAUAUUAACAUAAGUAUACAUAUGUGCGAACAAAUGUAUAUCUUAUGAUUAUUAAAAGUAAAUAUUCGUACUAGGGUUAAGGAUUUCGUAUUCAUGGUUCAGGGGUUUAGUGUUCAAGGUUUAGAGUUUAGUGUUCAGGAUUUAGGAUUUAGAAAAUAUAAUACUUUAUAUUGAAUAAAGGUAAAUACUUAUAUUAACUAUUGAUGUGAUGAAAAGUAAUGUAUCAAAAACAUUACAUUGGUUCAUGUCAAUAAUUACUUUUCAUUAUAAUAACAAUUACUUUGAAUAACGUAGAAAAUAAAUAGAAUAUAGAAGAAAAAAAAUCAAAUAAUAAUUCAAGUAAUCAUUGUAUUGAGAAAAAGUAGCUAUUAAUAAGAUGAAAUGUAAUGUUUCUAUUAUUACAUUUGUUCGCAAUAAUUUUUACUUUUGUUAAUGAGAAUUUGUACUCUCUUUCAGCUACCCCAGACCCGUCCAUCCCACACCCUGACCUGCGCCCAAACCCACCCGACCCGCGCCCCGACCCGUCUCAUGGUAUGAGAUCAACCUCACCCAGGACCAACCCUAGGCAGAAAAUUCAUUUUAAGUGCUAAUAAUUUUCACGAAAUGCAGUAAAUUUGUAUACUGAAUUUAAUAUACUUAUAUUUUAAAGAAAAUUUUAGUUAUUACGAUAUCAACUCCUAUUAUGUAAAGAUAUAUUAAAAGUUGUAAGAGUUCUACUAAUAAUUCAUACUAAUUAAAUGCAUUUAGUUGCACGCAUAUACUUAUUAUCAGAUAGUACUAUAUUUACAUUAACCAACAUCAUAUUACAAAAUCAUGACAUAGACAAAUUAACUUACGUUACAAAAUCAUGAUAUUGGCAAUCAUCGAAGAACUCCACCAUGUUUAAAUGGGGCCUCAGAUAGCUCUAGAAAUAUAGGGUGUUUAAUUUAUAGUAUAUGUGAAAUACACACCCUUCUCUCAGUUCACUACAAAAUUCAAUUCCAUUAGAAAACACAAACAUGAUGAUGAUGAAGAGGGAAACCAAUUUUCCACACUUGGGAAUGGGUUUAGAAAGAUUAAAUUUAUACGGAUUACAGUAGUAAAAAAUUUAACAGUAAAACAUGAAUGUAACAUAAAAAACAUGAAUAUAUAUUCGUAAGACAACAUUUUUUCGAAUAUAUAUCACAUGUCAACGGCUUCCUUUUCCUGUUUUAUAAACCGUCAUGGUUGGUUAAUAAAGAUCAAAAUCUUAUCUGCAAACUUUUUCUUCUAUAUUGUUCCUUAAUAAAGACUGAGCCCAAAAUUAAUUAAGGGUGAGGCUCAAUUCACAAUCAAAAGAGAAAGGCCCAAAUUAAAUAAAUGAGGAGCUCAACUUUAACAAAUAAGUCGGCCCAAACAUCAUAAGGGAAAGGCCCAAAAGAAAAGAAUAAACACAGCCCAAACUCUCCCUCUACUCACUAUCGGUCUCUCUCUUUUUCCCCCAAACUCAAUUCUCGCUUUUCUCUCUCUGAUCUCUCUCAAAGCCGGCCGCUCGGCUCUUCUUCAAAUCGAUCGGCUCCUCCUUCUCCGGCCACUCAGCUACCGGCGCACACAACUCCGGCGCCCUUCUCCCCUGUUCUUCUGCUGAACUCGCCCAAGGCAAAAAGGCGAGCCCUAAAUCGAGCCAUAAUCUGGAAAUUAUCGCCGCUGAUGCCACGCCCGUUUGGAAUCCGGUCGAGGUCGUCGUCUGGGAGUGGCGCCGUUGUCGAGCCCUAGCUUCCAGAAAAGGGAACAAUCGCCACUGCCGAGCGGCUGCUGCUCCGUCCCUGGUACCAGCUAGUUUCUUCCUCUCCUUCUCGAAUCGUCUCUUCUGGUUUGGUAACCGCCGUAGCUGUCGUUCUCGGGUCUCGAUGAGGUCGUGUGUGUUCGUCCCUGUCACGGUUAUCGCCGUCUAAGUCUCAACCGAACGAGGCAGUCGGCCCUUCCCCUUCUAAAAGCUAAGUUCCACUUUCCUCUUCUUCUCUAGUUUCUAGUUGUUAAGGGGAGGAAGAUUCUCAAGCUUGUUGCUCUAAAAUGCAGCAGGAUGAAAAGCAUAAAUCUUUCUAUGGUUUUACAUAUUAUGCCCAUUUGGCACAGUGGUGAAAUGUGAUUAUGCCUCUGAUAUGAAUGCGAACUGAAUGAUUAUUGGAGAUAGCAAAAUACCUCGCUUGUUUUCAAAUGAUUGGUUGUUGCUGGAGUUGAGUGAAGUGUGAAAUAAUCUGAAAUGAACAAUUGUUCUCCUUUAAUGCAGGUGAACUAAUCAAAGAGAAUGAAGUUAUUGAAGCCAAGUCUUACCUUGAGAGCUUCGGCUGAAUGAGCUGGGGCUAUUCUGUGAUUUUCUUUUGGGUGAAAUGAGUUGAGAGUGAAAACUGCAUUUGUUGGCUGGGCUGAUACUAAUAGAGAAAAUGACGCUGCAUACUUGAGUAUGCUAGGAGGAUGAGCAGGCAUAGGGUGGCUGGAGGUAGAAGCUUGAGGGAACCGGGCAGCCAUGGAAGGCGGCUGGAAGAGUUUUGCUGAAGGUGG